rnacentral:rRNA from 1 species
UGAUAGCUUGCUAUCAGGCGUCGAGCGGCGGACGGGUGAGUAAUACUUAGGAAUCUACCUAGUAGUGGGGGAUAGCACGGGGAAACUCGUAUUAAUACCGCAUACGACCUACGGGAGAAAGGGGGCAGUUUACUGCUCUCGCUAUUAGAUGAGCCUAAGUCGGAUUAGCUAGAUGGUGGGGUAAAGGCCUACCAUGGCGACGAUCUGUAGCUGGUCUGAGAGGAUGAUCAGCCACACCGGGACUGAGACACGGCCCGGACUCCUACGGGAGGCAGCAGUGGGGAAUAUUGGACAAUGGGGGAAACCCUGAUCCAGCCAUGCCGCGUGUGUGAAGAAGGCCUUUUGGUUGUAAAGCACUUUAAGCAGUGAAGAAGACUCCAUGGUUAAUACCCAUGGACGAUGACAUUAGCUGCAGAAUAAGCACCGGCUAACUCUGUGCCAGCAGCCGCGGUAAUACAGAGGGUGCAAGCGUUAAUCGGAAUUACUGGGCGUAAAGGGAGCGUAGGUGGCUCUAUAAGUCAGAUGUGAAAUCCCCGGGCUUAACCUGGGAACUGCAUCUGAAACUGUAGAGCUAGAGUAUGUGAGAGGAAGGUAGAAUUCCAGGUGUAGCGGUGAAAUGCGUAGAGAUCUGGAGGAAUACCGAUGGCGAAGGCAGCCUUCUGGCAUAAUACUGACACUGAGGCUCGAAAGCGUGGGUAGCAAACAGGAUUAGAUACCCUGGUAGUCCACGCCGUAAACGAUGUCUACUAGUCGUUGGGUCCCUUGAGGACUUAGUGACGCAGCUAACGCAAUAAGUAGACCGCCUGGGGAGUACGGCCGCAAGGUU